rnacentral:rRNA from 1 species
CAAUAGCGUAUAUUUAAGUUGUUGCAGUUAAAAAGCUCGUAGUUGGAUUUCGGUUGAGAACGGCCGGUCCGCCGCUUGGUGUGCACUGGCUGGUUUCAACUUCCUGUAGAGGACGCGCUCUGGCUUCACGGCUGGACGCGGAGUCUACGUGGUUACUUUGAAAAAAUUAGAGUGUUCAAAGCGGGCUUACGCUUGAAUAUUUCAGCAUGGAAUAACACUAUAGGACUCCUGUCCUAUUUCGUUGGUCUCGGGACGGGAGUAAUGAUUAAGAGGAACAGUUGGGGGCAUUCGUAUUUCAUUGUCAGAGGUGAAAUUCUUGGAUUUAUGAAAGACGAACUUCUGCGAAAGCAUUUGCCAAGGAUGUUUNCAUUAA